rnacentral:lncRNA from 1 species
CCUAGAGUAUGGCAUGCAGUUUUUUUCACCACACUAUAAAAAGAGGUUGAGACUCUAGAAAGAGUGCAGAGAAGAGCAACCAGGAGGAUGAGGGACUGGAAGCUAUAACAUAUGAAGAACAGUUACAAGAACUGGGCCUGGCUAGUCUAGGGAAGAAGGACCAGGGAGACAGGAGAGCAGCCUUCCAAUAUUUGAGGGCUGCCCCAGAGAGGAGGAAGCACCUUUGAAAGCCAGACAAGCAAUAAUGGAUGGAAACUGAUCAAGGAGAGAUUCAACCUAGGAAUAAGGAGGAAUUUCCUGACAAUGAGAACCAUCCCCAUGGAAGAGAAUUUGCCUUCAGAAGUUGUGGGAGCUUCAUCCCUGCAGGCUUUCAAGGAGAAACUUGACUAUCACUUGCCUGAAAUGGUGUAGGGUCUCCUGCGUGGGUGGGGGUUAGACUAGAAGACCUAGAAGGUCCCUUUGGACUCUCCUGUUCUGUUAAGUUGGGGACAGCUCCAGCUGGCAACAUCUCAUCCCGGAUGCACAGAGGCUUUGGCUGCUGAAAGGCCCAGAGAUGGGAUCUCGCUUGCUCUGGGGUCCAACUCCUGGGGAAUCUCUCAUCCUUGGGUUCUUCUAUUCUGCAGAAAAACCUGGGCUGUCCCAAACUCCCACCAGGCAGGAUCACUAUUUGCACCUUGUACUGUCGAUAUGACUGGCAGUGUCCUCGGAGGGAGAAGUGUUGCACUUAUGGUUGCACAGCUGUCUGCAAGGAUCCUGUCUAAGGUCCACCCGUCCAGCCGAGCCUGGCAUUCCUGCUGUUCGAGUACCAUGAAGGCUGCACACAGCCUCCUCCUCCUCCUCCUUCUGGGUCUCCUCACCCUCCUGGCAGAUGCCCCUUCGAUGGGACAAGCAGGUAAGUGGCCACUGCCAGACCCAUACGGCAAAUAAUCCCAGCCCCAAAGUGCCUCUUAGUCUUUCUGAGGGCUCCAUCCAGCUGAUCCUGCAGGGGGUUUGUCUGCUUUUCCUGGCCCUUCUGCUAAAUUGAGGAAAAGAAGCCCAGUAGAUCAGCAAAUUCAGGAAAAUGAAUGAAGGGCAUGGCAGGGGCUUCUACUUCGUUCUCCUCUCAGUGCCUGGAGUGUCCUUGCAGGGCAGACUGCCAAGAUCUAAGUGAAUAUAUAGGGAGGACCUAAGAGAAGGGCUCCUCCUCAGCCCCUCCCCAGAGACCCUCCCUCGAUUCAGCCCAGCCAGCUGCCAACAGUUGCCAAUGUGUCCCACAAAUGCUAUUUCAAACGGAGCUGCACUUGGUGGUUUGUUUGUUCCUUCUGCCUUGAAGAACUUUUGUUCCUCAUCCAAGAAGUUUCUUCAGCUCUUCUUCUCCCUCCUCUUCUUCUUCUUCUUCUUCUUCUUCUUCUUCUUCUUCUUCUUCUAGGAAAAAGAGUCCAGUUGCCUUUUCGAAAAGCUCUUUGGGACAACCAGGACCUGGACGGUGGAGAGUCUCCACAGGCCAUUUAUUAUUAUUAUUAUUAUUAUUGUUAUUAUUAUUAUUAUUAUUAUUUAUUAGACUUGUAUGCCGUCCUUCUCCCUAAGGACUCAGGGCGUGCACAUUUAAAAAACAUACAAAUUACAAUAAAAGUAAAUUAAACAACUACAAGUCUAGUAAUCAAUUAAAAUUAAAUUAAAACAACUAAAAUAACCCACCCCCAGGUCAAUCCAGACCGGCCUGCUGAAACAACCAGGUCUUCAGGUCUUGGCAAAAGGAGCAGAGAUCAGGGCCAAACGAAGAUCCACAGGGAGCUGAUUCCAUGGGCAGGUGCUCCCACAGAAAAGGCCCUAGCCCUGGGGAUCACCAGCCAACAAUGAAUAACCGAUUGCCAAUCCGUUCCCCCUCCUGGGCCUCCAGGGUCUUUUCUUAGGAAUGGUAUGUGCGUGAGAAGGUGCAGCACCGGCGGUCUCUGGUAAAAGCUACAAGAAGCUUUCUAGGUCAAGCAUCACCAACCCCUCAGCUUUGGUGGCUCAGGCUGUUAAAUGCCUGCUCUUAAGAUCCAGCUGUCUACAAUUACUGUAGGCUGAAUCCCACCAGGCUCAAGUUGACUCAGCCUUCCAUCCUCUUGGGGUAGGUAAAUUGAGGACCCAAGAUUGUUGGGGGCAAUUAGCUGACCUUGUAAAAAUGCCGCUUAGUGAUAAGCAGGC